UACGGGGGGGGCAAGCGUUGUUCGGAAUUACUGGGCGUAAAGGGCUCGUAGGUGGCCAACUAAGUCAGACGUGAAAUCCCUCGGCUUAACCGGGGAACUGCGUCUGAUACUGGAUGGCUUGAAUCCGGGAGAGGGAUGCGGAAUUCCAGGUGUAGCGGUGAAAUGCGUAGAUAUCUGGAGGAACACCGGUGGCGAAGGCGGCAUCCUGGACCGGUAUUGACGCUGAGGCGCGAAAGCCAGGGGGAGCAAACGGGG
rnacentral:rRNA from 1 species